rnacentral:rRNA from 1 species
UACAGAGGGGGCAAGCGUUGUUCGGAAUUACUGGGCGUAAAGGGCGCGUAGGCGGACUUGUAAGUCGGGAGUGAAAACUCGGGGCUCAACCCCGAGCCUGCUUCUGAAACUGCGAGUCUUGAGGACCGGAGAGGAAAGUGGAAUUCCUAGUGUAGCGGUGGAAUGCGUAGAUAUUAGGAAGAACACCAGUGGCGAAGGCGACUUUCUGGACGGUUCCUGACGCUGAGGCGCGAAAGCUAGGGGAGCAAACAGG